rnacentral:sRNA from 1 species
UAAGAUGUGGUUCUGGUUUUGUGGAUAC